GGAGAAUCAAGGUCCCAGAUGAAACCAGGUGAUUACUCCAGAAAUAGUGGUGAGAAGGGCAGCCUUCCUUUACCUUAUAGACUCUGCUUUAGACACAGGACAAGAAGGGGGCUCUGGAGUUUCUCCAUUGGUGUUUGAGUCUCCCUGGUGAGUGGGCCAGGCCCUCUGCCUUUACAAGACCUACUUGCACUCAGGUCAGCCAUAUAGAAAGCAUUCAGCUUUUAUGUAGCCAGGCCAAAAUACCUUCAGAUAAAUUCCUGACCAGAAUGAUUUUUAAAAUGCCAGCUUCACCAAUGGGCAUCUUCAAAGGCUGUUUGUUUCUAAGAUAGGCUAUUUGUUUCUAAGUAUCAAUUGUGUGAAAAAGGAGGUUGGACCAGAUUUCACUGAGUAUAACCUGUGGAAACAUUACUGAUCAGGCUGGGAACAAGUGUGUUGAAGAUGGAGAUCAGUUGAAGGAAAGUUCUAGGCAAUGAUCACAGAGGAAAUAAUGCCAUUCACUUCACUUCCACAAGUUCCAGCUACCAAGGAAACUGGAAAUGGGAGGUGUUGUGAGGAACCCAGAGUGGGAAGACCCAUACCACAGCCACACACAACCUGGGACCUGCCUUUCUUUGGAAUGGACCGAAUAUGGAAUAACAUGGACAUGGCUGAUGAGCAUCCGGAGACGGGAUGGCAGUGCAUAAUACUUCCUGGAACUGCAAUAGGAUGGAGGUGUCUUUUGACAUUGAGGCAGGUUAUUAAAUAGAAGUGUGAACUAUUAAGAGAUGAUCAUGACCCUCAGUACAUUUUUAUCAAAGUCAAAAAAUAUUUGACACCACUGAGCAGCCUACCACAGGCACAAGGGGAGAAAUGCUUUAUUAUGGAAAUUUGUACUAUGUUCUUCAAAACAGAAGAAUUCCGAAUAUGUGCAUUUUAAAAUUUCUAACAGCUUGUAGAACUACCAGUAAUUAACACCAGUUGUAAGUUAAAUAUGCUCUGGGAUGAUAUUUGUAAAUGAGAAGGCUGACCAACCUUAAUAAGAACUUCCUAAAUUAAAAAUAAAAAUUUAAAACUACAUUUUAAAAUAAUGAUG
rnacentral:lncRNA from 1 species